ensembl:lncRNA
UCAUUGGAUACAGAAUUAUAUGGUCUGCUAGUUUCAGCAAGCUGGCUUCAUAAACAAGCGGGGGNNNNNNNNNNNNNNGGGGGAAACCUCUUCAACCAAAUAUUUACCUCACUUAAUAUGCCUGAAAGACUGAUCUUCUUGACUUGACAUGGACACACUCGUGUCCAGUGGAUUGCUAGUCAAAUCUAAAUUCUACAUCUGGAUGGCAUGCCCCUGUGAAGCUGUCAUAUUGAAUUCAUGCUUUUAUUAAUAAUCUGAUUAAAUCAUUCUAAAUAAAACCUUUUCUUGGACACAAAUCCUCAAUCAACAAAUUUAAUGGCCUGAUUCCCUAUCUGUGGUCAAAGAGGAAAGCAAAUAUCCAGGAUUGAUGUUCAAUCAUUAACACUAAAUGCCACUGAAACCAGCCCAGGCCAGCCCAAUUUGGAAUUUUCUAAAUCUUAUUAAGCAAAACUAAAUAGGAUUAAAAUGAACAAAUAUUGGUUUUUAUUCACCCACAUCUGUUCAUUUCUAACAUUUUCUCUUGGCUCACCACUCCAAUCCCUUCAAACAUCCCUGGGUAACUAUGGGCAUUUAAGACAGUAUAAGCUACUUUAUGUGUAUGCGUACUCCCCUGAAAUUUGGUCAGCCCCCACAUAACAUGCCCAACUGAUGCAGCUGCAGUCGUGAACAAAAAGGACAAAUAAGCAUGUGAGCAUACACUAUGGUUCUAUACGCAAUAACCUAUUAUAUAAUACAUGCAGAAGCUAAGCAUCACAUCAGAGCCUACAGGCAAAACAAAUUUUAUGAGGAUGUAAGAUAACGUAUACCAUUUUGUUCUAGGAAAAUGAGAUCACAUCUCUUAGCUCCUGUUUAGUAAUGGCAGGAAGGAUUCUUCUCUUGUUCUCCAUUGUAUUCCAGUCCUGACACUUGUAAGAAGAUAAUGGAUCCUACAAAAAUGAUUGCUGAACAAUCAAUGAAUUUCCUGUAAAUUAUCACGCCUUACCACCUUAUUCCCAUCUACCUUGCACAAGUCACUUGAGAAACACUGCUUUAUAAUAACUUAUAAUUUCCUUGAGAAAAACAUUUAAGAAGUCAUAUAGGGAAUUCCUGUUGUGGCUCAGAGAAUCCUGCUAGUGUCCAUGAGGAUGUGGGUUCAUUCAAUCCCUGGCCUUGCUUAGUGGGUUGAGGAUCCUACGUUGCUGUGAGCUGUGGUAUAGGUUGCAGAUGUGGCUUGGAUCCUGCAUUGCUAUGGCUGUGGCGUAGGCUGGCAGCUACAGCUCUGAUUCAACCCCUAGCCUAAGAACCUCCAUAUGCCAUGUGUGUGGAUCUAAGUUGACAAAAAAAAAAAAAAGUCGUAUAUAAUAAUCACAUUUGUUUAAUAAUAUUGCAACUAUUAAAAUUUCCCAUAUAGCAUCAGUGCAAUAAAUAUAUGAUUUGGGGAUAGUGCCUAUUGAACUAAAAAUGGCCUUCUUCAAAAGAACCUUAAAGAAUCAUCACUGAACUCAGAAAGAAAAUUCUAAAGCAAUGUUAAAUAUUAUUUCCAACUCCACUUUCUUGCUCCUCUCUGCUUCUUUUUCUGGGAUUUAAUGAAAGUCCCAUCUCUUCGUUUAUUACAUACUCUUUGGAUAUAGAUGAUAGGAAAUGUGAAAUAGAGAUUUUCUCUGUGUGAUUGUCUUUAGGGGAAAACCUUUCACUGUCUAAAAGCAUGGCCAUGAAUACUAAACAGCUCUUAUAUCAGCCAAGGACUCUCUCUAGGAAUAAGCCAGGGAAUAAAACUUUGUUUAUGCAAUUAUUCCACCUUCUACUAAAAACUCUGGCUUAAAUUUAGACAUAUAACCUAAAUAAAAGGUGCUUACUUCAUUUGCCCCUCAGUCUAAGAGAUUGGCUUAUGAGCUGUUCCUACCAUCAGUGUACUGUCUGUGCACCCUGCUGGAUCAGGGGAAGGAGGGCUUUUUCAUUUCCAUUGUCAUCCUUUUCUUCUUUGGCAGGUAAAGCACAUUAGGCAGGUGGAAGCUUCUUUCCCGGCAUGUGUAAAAUCAUAUGUGGCAAGUGUAAAAUGUCCAAUGUACUUGAGGAAAAAAUAAUUCUAUCAUACUCCAAAAUCCGAUAAGAAUGGUAGGACUUACAAAAUCAUGGUUUCAGACAACACUCACCCAAGCACAAACUGAUAUAGUUCUCAGAGUCAACUCUUGCCUAAACGUCACAGUGUGUCUGAAAGCUUUCAGGGCUGUACACUUGCUAUCAUUCCUGAUAUGGUAAAACAGAACCCUGUAUUUACUAUCUGUUUGAUACUUCAAAUAUUUCCUUAUAAUGUCUAAUUCAAAAUAAAAAAAUAAAUGACUUUUAAGUGAUCAUUGACUCCAGGAAAGCUCCAUUAGUUCCAGAUACUAUUAAAGAAUAGAUAUCAAUAAAAUCCAUAAGUUUAGUAUUUUAAUGUAGUUAAUUAUAUAUAUAUAUACGUAAAACAUUAUACAUAUGAGCAGUGGGAAGUUAUUUUAUAGGAUCAAGAUAUAGAAAUUUAUAAUAAACAAUUUUUAUCUCAAGAAAAGAUUUCUAAGCUUCAGGUCAUUAUCUCAGCUUAUAUUUGAUAUACAUGUCAAGGAAGACAGUGUUUGUUAAAAUAAAUAUGUGCUAUGUAAACAAUAAACAAAUUAUGGUGAGCAGACCCCCUACGGUGGCCCCCGCAACCUCCACCAUCUUGGAUCCAUGUCCUUGUAUCAUCUCCUUCCCUUGAGAGUGGACAAGACCUAGAACUUGCUUCUAAUCAAAGACUAUGGCAAAGGUAAUAGAAUCUCACUUCUGUGAUUAUGUUAAAUUGUAUAAGAUUCUAUUAGACACUCUAAAAACUCCUUUUGCUGGCUUGAUGAAGUAAGUGGCCAGGUUUGGGGAGUACCUGUGGCAAGGAAAUAAGGAAAUGUAGGCAACCUUCAGAAAGAGAGGAUGUCCUCUGGAAGCCGAGGGCCUGCUCUGCAAUCUGAGGGUGGCCUCCCGCUGAAAGCCAGCAAAAAGCUGAGGCAUCCAUCCUACCACCCUGAGGAACUGAAUUCUAUCAACAACCUGAGUGGGCUUGCAAAGUAGAUUCUUCACUGAUCGAGCCAACGGAUGAGACUGCAGCCCAUCCCUGCCCUGACGGCAGCCUUCAGAGACCCUGAGCUGAGGACCCAUUUAGACCAUGCCUGCUCUCCUGACCCACAUCAUUUCUGGAAUAAUAAAUGUGUUUUUUAGGCUGUUAUGUUUUGGUAAUCUGCUAUAUAGCAUUAGCAACUAAUAUAGAAAUAUUAAAAUGUGUACAGUUUGGAGCAAUAUUCAGUAUUACAUUAUCUAUAUUUCUGCCCUCAAAUUUCUCAUGGGAAGAAAAAUGGAAUACACAUAAAGGUUUAAUUGCAAUCAGUAAGAUUAACAUUUUUAGAGCCAAUAUUUUUUUCCAUCUGAAAAGGGCACAAAAAUAGAAAAGGGCCAAAAGAUGCCUCAUAUUAAAGUAAUCUUAAUCUAGUAGUCUAGUCGCUCGUUUAUUAAAUGAUAAAAAUACCAGAGUUCCCAUUGCGGCUCAACAGACAUGAAUCUGACUGGCAUCCAUGAGGACUCAGGUUCCACCCCUGGCCUCACUUAGUGGGUUAAGGAUCUGGCAUUGCCAUGAGCUGUGGUGUAGGUCACAGACACAGCUCAGAUCUGGCGUUGCUGUGGCUGUGGAGUAGGCUAGCAGCUACAGCUCCAAUUCGACCCCUAGCCUGGGAACCUCCAUAUGCCAUAGGUGUGGCCCUAAAAAGAAAGAGAAAGAGAGAGGGAGAGCGAGAGAGAGAGAAAGAGAAAGAGACAAGAAAGAAAGAAGGAAAGAAAGAAGGAAAAGAAAAGAAAAAAAUACAUCUGUAUACAUAUAUAUUCAUUCAUAUUUGUAACAGCUGGAUUGCUGUUUUUGCUUCAUUAGAGAGAUGUAUAUAAAGUAAAAUGACCGUAUUUUUUUUAUCUCAAAUUUCCCUGCAAAACAAUAUGUCCCUCAGGAGUUCCCAUUGUGGCUCAGCAGGUUAAGAACCUGACAUAGUGUCCUUGAGGAUGCAGGUUUGAUCCCUAGCCUCGCUCAGUGGGUUAAGGAUCCAGUGUUGCUGCAAGCUGCAGCAUAGGUCACAGGUUGGAUCUGGUGUUGCCAUGGCUGUGGCACAGGCCAGCAGCUGCAUCUCCAAUUCGACUGCUAGUCUGAGAACUUACAUAAGCUGCAGGUAUGGCCGUAAAAUGAAAAAAAAAAAAAAUGUCCUUCAAAGUUUCAGAUCAAAUUAAAAAAUUAUAUAUGUGACCAGAUCAUCUUUAAUAAUUAGAUCAUAUUAACCUUCACAUACAUAUGUUAGGAAGCUCAGUAAUAACACCUGCAUCAUUUUGGCUUUCACAACCUUCAAAGAUACACUGUCAGCCGUCUUACCACGGCAAGUCCCCCUGAGAAUAUCAUGACUGUUCAUGAUGAGCCAGGGACCACUUCUGCCACGAACUAUAGACUGUAUCUUGAUGUUCCACAUCUACUAAUAUCUUCAACCACAGAUGCACAUGUCUGAGCCACAAGGUAAGGCUCCACCCUCACCCAAGAAGCCCGCGAGCUGCUGCACUUACUCAUGACUGAAGCAGCUCUUCUGUCCUUGGAGAAGCCCCAGAACCAAGCUGCUGGAAUCAGAAGCAUGAAAACAUUUAUGGAUGAGCCUUCUAAAAUUUCACAGACAGCCCUUCUUCUCUGCCAGGUGGUCUGGAUGUGAACUAAUUCAAAGAGCGAUCUCAUUCUGCCCUGAACUGGGACAGCACUCUAGCUCCCAGGACAUGUGACUGAGUCAAGCUCCUCUGUCACACCUUGUUUCCCCUUGCAAUGAAUUCUUAGAAAUAUUCUUUCAGACUCCCCAUCCAUUACUACUGUCACAUCCAAAUAUUUCUGAACCCAUGUUGUAGGGGCUACUUUUCAGAGAGGAUUAUCACUCUCCUUGUACUUGGCAGCUUCAAACAAUUACGGUCUGCAGGGGAUUGAGGGAGCACAUGAACUCCACUUCCAGGCUCACUUCAGUGCGCUGCUACAGGAAGGAUCACCUAUUUGUCAGUAUCCUUUUAACUACUAUACCUCAAGCAGCAAAUGAAGAACUAAGAUGAUUUCUUUUAAUAAUUAUAAAGAGUAAUUUCUCGAACUAUGCUUCAUAAAUACAGUCCCUAGGUCAAUUAAAUAUCCAAUCUCCUACAAAAUAGCCAGUCCCAAAUCCAUCAGUCUGAGAGAAUCAGAACAAAGUAUUUAGGAACUAGAAAACAAUAUCAUCAAUCACAUUGAACUGUCAGCUUACUAAUCAUGAUACAAAUGGUAAACACACUGAAGAGCUAUGACUUUUUAGACCAUGGCAUUUUAGAUUGGCAUUAACUCUGCUGCAUAACUUUGGUGCAGUGGGUAAUGACAAAAAUAGAGAAGCGAUUAGAUUAUAAAUAAAUAUCUGGGACUACAAAUGAAUCCUCACUAAAAUAUUUAUUUGAAGUCAAUUAAAUUCCAUUAUUGCAUCCAUGAUUACAAAUUAUCUCCUGCAUUCUAAUCAUUGGUUAAUUGCUUAUUAUCUCACAAAGAUGAAUAAGUGCAAGUCAAAUCACUAAGAUUCCUAUAUUUGACGUCAGUAUGAGUAAUUAUAUAGUUUAUAUGAAACAAUUGCUCUAAUAAAUUAGCUAAAUGCACCACACACUUGCAAAUAGACUCCAAUGAAUCUGGGUCAGGUGCUUUCUAAACCUAGAACAGGGUUGGAUCCUCAAAUAUUUUCUGAGUAAAAAAAGAUAUCCCACUAGAAGUUCCCAUCUUGGCUCAGUGGUUAACGAAUCCGACCAGGAACCAUGAGGUUGCAGGUUCAAUCCAUGGCCUUACUUAGUGGGUUAAGGAUCUGGUAUUGCCAUGAACUGUGGUGUGGGUCACAGAUGCAGCUCGGAUCCUGCAUCGCUGUGGCUCUGGCAAAGGCCGGCAGCUACAGCUCUGAUUGGACCCCUAGCCUGGGAACCUCCAUAUGCCGCAGAAGCAGCCCAAGAAAUGGUAAAAAGACAAAAAAAAAAAAAAAAAA